rnacentral:rRNA from 1 species
CUAUCCCGAGUGCCAUCCGCUGAGGAAGGCUUUUACCCAGUCUAGAACGCUGGGGGAAUAAGGAGAGGGCAAGUCUGGUGUCAGCCGCCGCGGUAAUACCAGCUCUCCGAGUGGUGUGGAUGUUUAUUGGGCCUAAAGCAUCCGUAGCUGGCUAGGUAAGUCCCUUGUUAAAUCCACCGAAUUAAUCGUUGGAUCGCGGGGGAUACUACUUGGCUAGGGGACGAGAGAGGCAGACGGUAUUUUCGGGGUAGGGGUGAAAUCCUAUAAUCCCGGGAAGACCACCAGUGGCGAAGGCUGUCUGCUAGAACGCGCCCGACGGUGAGGGAUGAAAGCUGGGGGAGCGAACCGGAUUAGAUACCCGGGUAGUCCCAGCUGUAAACGAUGCAGACUAGGUGUUUGGACGGCCACGUGCCGUUCUAGUGCCGCAGGGAAGCUGUUAAGUCUGCCGCCUGGGGAGUACGAUCGCAAGAUUGAAACUUA